rnacentral:piRNA from 1 species
UGCAUGACCCAAAGCUAGCUUUCACUGUGA